AACUUUCAACAACGGAUCUCUUGGUUCUGGCAUCGAUGAAGAACGCGGCGAAAUGCGAUACGUAAUGUGAAUUGCAGAAUUCAGUGAAUCAUCGAAUCUUUGAACGCACAUUGCGCCCGCCAGCAUUCUGGCGGGCAUGCCUGUUCGAGCGUC
rnacentral:rRNA from 1 species